UUUUAUUCUUAUAUUUUAUAUUUAAUACUUUGUAAAUACUUUUUCAAUAGAUAUGUCAAGCAUUAGAGAUGUUCAAAAGUAUGAAAAAUCAACCAUUUGGAUUUAUGCAUUGUUGGAGAAUAUUAAAGGAUGCACCGAAAUGGAGAACAAAUAAUAGUGGAAAAAAACAGAAAAGUAAUAGAAAGUCAAGUCCAGCAGCAUCUUCUCCAUCAACCGCAGAAGAAGUCAGUUUGGGUGAAGACGAUGGUAUUGAAGAUACAAUCUCUGCAAGAUUAGAGAGGCCAAUGGGAAGAAAGGCUUCGAAAGCAUUAUUUAAAAAGGGCAAAUAAAUCGGUGAUACUAGUACACCUAUG
rnacentral:lncRNA from 1 species